GGUUGGUGACUCAGUGGUAGAGUGCUUGCCUAGCAUGCAUGAGGCACUGGGUUCGAUCCUCGGCACCA
rnacentral:tRNA from 1 species